UACGUAGGUGGCAAGCGUUGUCCGGAAUUACUGGGUGUAAAGCGCGUGUAGGCGGGAGGCCAAGUCUGCUGUGAAAUCGCUCGGCUCAACUGGGCGGGGUCGGUGGAAACUGGUCACCUGGAGGACGGUAGAGGCGAGUGGAAUUCCCGGUGUAGUGGUGAAAUGCGUAGAGAUCGGGAGGAACACCAGUGGCGAAGGCGGCUCACUGGCCCGAUACUGACGCUGAGGUGCGAAAGCGUGGGGAGCAAACAGG
rnacentral:rRNA from 1 species